CCUCUUCCUCCUCUGCAGCUGCUGGUAAUGCUGCUGCGCCUGCCGCUCAUGCUUCUGCAGAGAGAGAGAGACACACAUGCGCCACCAUGUAUUCAGCAGUCAUCCAGCUAACCAUUACAAUAGCGCAGUGUUUACACCGUCACGUCCUCUCUAUGUCCCUACAUGUUUCAUUUCUCAAAGGCACUGUUGCUAAAACAUCACUAGGAGAGCAAACCAAGUCAUUCAUCUCUGUAAUGAAAGCUGCAGUGUUGCAGUACACAAUGAUUUCAGGACAGCUGCUGCGACAGAUUCUUUUCUUUCUUUUUUUUUUAAAUAUAUUACAGGACUCUGCAAAUAAUGAGGUGGUGUUUUUUUAGUCCUUAUUCAAACUGCCCAAAAGUUCAACUUCAUCUGUAGCAAAUGCAAGAUUUUAGAUGGAUAUAAAAUGUACCUUGAAGGCCUCCCUUCGCUGAUAUUCCAGUUUAGCCAUCUCCUCUUGGACCCAUGCAGGAAUGUCAGGUAUGGCCACGUGGAUGAUGUACUUCAGGAGGAUAGCAAAGUGCUGUAGACAGAGAGCAAUUAUAGAAAUGAAGAAAAGAAAAUCAAUCCCAGUCAGAAAUCUGAGCACAGUGCUUUCGUGUACGCUUUAGUGUUUGUUUUGUCAUGCCCCGUCUUGUCUUGCCUCCAGCAUGCAGUCAGCUCACCUGCGGCGGGGGCACACCUGCUUCCAAUCCACUCAUCAGCUCAGCCUUUAUAUUCCCUGUUCCUGCAGUCACUCAUCGUCUGAUUGUAACGUUAACUCUCUCUCGCCUAGGAACAGUGUUAGCUGUAGUGUCCACUUAAUGCUUGUUGUUUUGUGUUUUUCACUAACUCCUGUGCUCUCCUGUGUCCAGAGCUCUCUCCCCUGUGCGUGAUGUCACUGACGUUUGGAACUGAUCGCCGCCUCCUCUACCGUCACCUCACCGUGACUGCCAGCACAGAACUGUGGUACCUCGAGGAUGACGAUAGAGAUGAUGGCCAUCUCUGGGCUGAGCCAAGGGAAGAGACGCUGUAGUUGACCACACUGACCAAUCAGGAGUCCUCAUCUGCCACUGACCUGCCACUGGCCGAUGCUCUCCACUCGGACUCCAAAGGGCCUCUGCAGACCAGUGCAGAGCUUAAAGGCAUCGCUGCGGAUCUCAAUGAUGUUGUUGAUGAGAGCACACAUGGCAGCCAGAGGGAAGGCUGAUGAGAAGAGAACCACGUACCCAAACUGGACAAACAUCUCUUGGUAGUCCUGGAAGGUGUCCUGAGGGGGACAAACCGGAUCAUUAGACUACACAAGUACACAGUCUGAAGGCGACUACUUUGCAGAAGCAGCUGACUGACCUGCAGCUCGAUGCAGAUGAGCAUGACCAGGAAGACAAAACAGAGACAGAGGAGACAGAUGGGCAGGCUGACCAGCCACCUGAAC